rnacentral:rRNA from 1 species
UACGGAGGGUGCAAACGUUGCUCGGAAUCAUUGGGCGUAAAGCGCACGUAGGCGGUCGGCUAUGUCGGAUGUGAAAGCCUCGGGUUUAACCCGAGAAGGGCAUCCGAAACUGGCCGGCUUGAGUACGGAAGAGGGUCUCGGAAUUCCCGGUGUAGAGGUGAAAUUCGUAGAUAUCGGGAGGAACACCAGUGGCGAAGGCGGAGACCUGGGCCGAUACUGACGCUGAGGUGCGAAAGCGUGGGGAGCAAACAGG